rnacentral:rRNA from 1 species
AAAUUGAAGAGUUUGAUCAUGGCUCAGAUUGAACGCUGGCGGCAGGCCUAACACAUGCAAGUCGAACGGUAACAGAAAGCAGCUUGCUGCUUUGCUGACGAGUGGCGGACGGGUGAGUAAUGUCUGGGAAACUGCCUGAUGGAGGGGGAUAACUACUGGAAACGGUAGCUAAUACCGCAU